rnacentral:rRNA from 1 species
GCAUAUCAAUAAGCGGAGGAAAAAGAAACUAACAAGGAUUCCCCCUAGUAACUGCGAGUGAAGCGGGAAGAGCUCAAAUUUAAAAUCUGGCGGUCUUUGGCCGUCCGAGUUGUAGUCUGGAGAAGUGCUUUCCGCGCUGGACCGUGUAUAAGUCUCUUGGAACAGAGCGUCAUAGAGGGUGAGAAUCCCGUCUCUGACACGGACUACCAGUGCUUUGUGAUGCGCUCUCAAAGAGUCGAGUUGUUUGGGAAUGCAGCUCAAAAUGGGUGGUAAAUUCCAUCUAAAGCUAAAUAUUGGCGAGAGACCGAUAGCGAACAAGUACCGUGAGGGAAAGAUGAAAAGCACUUUGGAAAGAGAGUUAAACAGUACGUGAAAUUGCUGAAAGGGAAACGCUUGAAGUCAGUCGCGUUGUUCGGAACUCAGCCUUGCUUUCGCUUGGUGCACUUUCUGAAUGACGGGCCAGCAUCGAUUUCGACCGUCGGAAAAGGGUUGGGGGAAUGUGGCACCUUCGGGUGUGUUAUAGCCCCUGGUCGCAUGCGGCGGUUGGGAUCGAGGAACGCAGCGCGCCGCAAGGCAGGGACUUUGUCCACUUUCGCGCUUAGGAUGCUGGCAUAAUGGCUUUAAACGACCCGUCUUGAAACACGGACCAAGGAGUCUAACAUACCUGCGAGUGUUUGGGUGGAAAACCCGAGCGCGUAAUGAAAGUGAAAGUUGAGACCCUCUGUCGUGGAGGGCACCGACGCCCGGACCUGACGUUCUCUGACGGAUCCGCGGUAGAGCAUGUAUGUUGGGACCCGAAAGAUGGUGAACUAUGCCUGAAUAGGGUGAAGCCAGAGGAAACUCUGGUGGAGGCUCGUAGCGAUUCUGACGUGCAAAUCGAUCGUCAAAUUGGGUAUAGGGGCGAAAGACUAAUCGAACCCAUCUAGUAGCUGGUUCCUGCCGA